AUUGAACGCUGGCGGCAAGCCUAACACAUGCAAGUCGAACGAGUGGCGGACUGGUGAGUAAUGUCUUGGAAACUGCCUGAUGGAGGGGGAUCACUCCUGGAAACGGUAGCUAAUACCGCAUACCAUCGGAUGUGCCCAGAUGGGAUUAGCUAGUAGGUGGGGUACAGGCUCACCUAGGCGACGAUCCCUAGCUGGUCUGAGAGGAGGACCAGCCACACUGGAACUGAGACACGGUCCAGACUCCUACGGGAGGCAGCAGUGGGGAAAAGUGCACAAUGGGCGCAAGCCGGAUGCAGCCAUGCCGCGUGUAUGAAGAAGGCCUUCGGGUUGUAAAGUACUUUCAGCGAGGAGGCGUUACCCGCAGAAGAAGCACCGGCUAACUCCGUGCCAGCAGCCGCGGUAAUAC
rnacentral:rRNA from 1 species